rnacentral:misc_RNA from 1 species
GAUGAAGAACGUAGCGAAAUGCGAUACGUAAUGUGAAUUGCAGAUUUCAGUGAAUCAUCGAAUCUUUGAACGCACAUUGCGCCCGCUAGUAUUCUGGCGGGCAUGCCUGUUCGAGCGUCAUUUCAACCAUCAAGCCCUAGGCUUGCGUUGGAGCCCUGCGGCUGCCGCAGGCUCCCAAAUCCAGUGGCGGGCUCGUCGUCGUACCGAGUGCAGUAAACAUCCUCGCUCAGGGAACGUGACGGGUUCUUGCCGUGAAACCCACCACAUAUCAAGGUUGACCUCGGAUCAGGUAGGAAUACCCGCUGAACUUAAGCAUAUCAAUAAGCGGAGGA